rnacentral:rRNA from 1 species
CCCUUAGAUGUCCUGGGUUGCACGCGCGCUACACUGAUGUGUCCAGUAAGCACCUAACCUCUUCCGAAAGGAACGGGUAACCUUUGCAAAGCACAUCGUGAUGGGGAUAGAUUAUUGCAAUUAUUAGUCUUGAACGAGGAAUUCCUAGUAAGCACAAGUCAUCAGCUUGUGUUGAUUACGUCCCUGCCCUUUGUACACACCGCCCGUCGCUCCUACCGAUUGGGUGUGCUGGUGAAAUGUUCGGAUCGGCCGUUUGUCGCGGUUUCCGCGUCAUGUGGCUGAGAAGUUCAUUAAACCCUCCCACCUAGAGGAAGGAGAAGUCGUAACA